rnacentral:rRNA from 1 species
UACAGAGGGUGCAAAGCGUUGUUCGGAAUUAUUGGGCGUAAAGCGCGUGUAGGCGGCUUUGCAAGUCGGGGUGUGAAAGCCCUCAGCUCAACUGAGGGAAGUGCGCCCGAAACUGCAGAGCUUGAGUGCCGGAGAGGGUGGCGGAAUUCCCCAAGUAGAGGUGAAAUUCGUAGAUAUGGGGAGGAACACCGGUGGCGAAGGCGGCCACCUGGACGGUAACUGACGCUGAGACGCGAAAGCGUGGGGAGCAAACAGG